ACGUAGGGUGCAAGCGUUAAUCGGAAUUACUGGGCGUAAAGCGUGCGCAGGCGGUUUUGUAAGUUUGUCGUGAAAGCCCCGGGCUCAACCUGGGAAUUGCGAUGAAGACUGCAAGGCUUGAAUCUGGCAGAGGGGGGUAGAAUUCCACGUGUAGCAGUGAAAUGCGUAGAGAUGUGGAGGAACACCGAUGGCGAAGGCAGCCCCCUGGGUCAAGAUUGACGCUCAUGCACGAAAGCGUGGGGAGCAAACAGGAUUAGAUACCCUGGUAGUCCACGCCCUAAACGAUGUCUACUAGUUGUCGGGUUUUAAUUAACUUGGUAACGCAGCUAACGCGUGAAGUAGACCGCCUGGGGAGUACGGUCGCAAGAUUA
rnacentral:rRNA from 1 species